rnacentral:lncRNA from 1 species
UCCUAAAGUGCAAGAAAUAAAAUCAAGAAUCAAUAAAUGGAUGGAUUUAAACUAAAAAGCUUCUCUUCAGUAAAAGAAACAAUCAAUGAAGUGAACAGAGUCUACAUUUUGGAAGCAAAUUUUUGCCGCACACACAUCAGAUACAGCACUAAUCUCCAGGAUAUAAAGAACUCAAAAAUCUUAACACCAAAAAAAACAAACAGUCCAAUCAAUAAUGGGCUAAGGAGCUGAACAAAUAUUUCUCGGAAGAGGAUAUACAAUCGAUCAAUAAAUAUGAAAAAAUGUUCAACAUCUCUAGUAAUUAUAGAAAUGGAAAUCAUCGCACUCCAGUCAGAAUGGCAGUUAUCAAGAAUACAAACAACCAUAAGUGUUGGUGAGGAUGUGGGGGGGAAAGGCACACUCAUACAUUGCUGGUGAGACUGUAAAUAGGUGCAACCAAUCUGGAAAGUAGUAUGAAGAUUCCUUAGAAAACUUGGAAUGGAACCACCAUUUGACCCAGUUAUCCCACUCCUUGGUUUAUACCCAAAGGACUUUAAAAUAGCAUACUACAGUGACACGCCACUAAAAUAGCAUACUACAGUGACACGCCACAUCAAUGUUCUUAGCAGCUCAAUUCACAACAGCCAAACUGUGGAACCAACCAAGAUGCCGUUUAAUAGAUCAAUGGAUAAAGAAAAUGUGGUAUAUAUACACAAUGGAAUAUUCCUCAGCAAUAAAAGAGAAUAAAACUAUGGCAUUUGCAGGUAAAUGGAUGGAGUUAGAGAAUAUCAUGCUAAGUGAAGUAAGCCAAUCCCCCCAAAACCAAAGGCUGAAUGUUUUCUCUGAUAAGUGGAUGCUAAUCCAUAAUAGGAGGGACAUGGGAUGAGUGAGGGAAUUUUGGAUAGGGUAAAGGGGAGGCGGGUAGGAGGCAUGGGGGGUAGGAAAGAUGGUGGAAUGAGAUGGACAUCAUUAUCCUAGGUAUAUGUAUGAUUACACAAAUAGUGUGACCCUACUUUGAUACAACCAGUGAAGUCAAAAAUUGUGCUCCAUUUGUGUACAGUGAAUCGAAGAGCAUUCUGCUGCCAUGUAUAACUGAUUAGAACAAAUUAAUUAAAAAAAUUAGUUGUCCAUGAACCUUUAUUUUAAUUAACUAAUUUAUUUAUUUAUAUUCAGUACUGAGGAUCAAACCCAGUGCCUCAUACAUGCUAGGCAAGCGCUCUACCACUGAGCCACAACCCCAACACCCCUAGUCUUUUUUUAGGGGGGCCCUGGGGGUUGAACUCAGAGGCACUCAGCCUCUGAGCCACAUCCCCAGCCCUAUUUUUUAUUUUAUUUAGAGACAGUCUCACUGAGUUGCUGAGGCUAGCUUUGAACUCACGGUCUUCCUGCCUCAGCCUCCUGAAAUGCUGAGAUUACGACAUGUGCCGUUGCACCCGGCUGCCCCCAGUUACUUUUUUAAUUUUGAUUUUUUUGAGUCAGGGACUAAUUUGCCCAGACUGGCCUUGAACUUAACCUCCCAAGUCCCUAGGAUUACACCACUAUGCCUGGUUUAGGCUCAGCAUCUUAAAUGUAGCUUUCCAGGUCAUUGUGAAGGUUUAUCAAUCAAAGAGGCAGAACAGACAGUUUUAUUUAUUUAAGAGCUCAUUUGCUUCCCUUGUAACUCGCUCAGUCAGCCUCCUUCUGUCCUCUCACCCCAGUGCCACAAUGUUAGGUCUGGCCUCCUGAGUGGGUUGAGUGACUUCUCUAUAUCUCAGAUUUGUCUCCUAGAAAAUGGGGUUAAUAAGAGUAACUACCUGGUAGCAUUAUUUGUGACAGGGACAUACACAUGGAAAAAUGUCUGAUCCCUAGGAAAAGACUAGCAUUCUCCAAGUGGCUGUCACUGUUGCCAAGAGCAAGACUCUCAGCUCAGCUUUCCUGUCUGGUUGAGGGCCAGCCUGGCUUAGCUGAGAUUGAGAGUCAUGCCUUGUGCCUCUGAGCUGUCCCCUGUCUUACACCCUAUCUUGUAGGAAUUUGCGGAGACAAGUAGGAAUUCUCACUCAUUUCAGGUCUUGGCUGCAGCAUGUAGGAGCACCUUCCGAGUGUCUUCUUUCUCCCAUUCCAGGCCAUCUGUAAACAUUUUCAUAGCUCAAGGACUGCUGCAUCGGCCUUCGGCUCCUCUCUUCUUGUCUGUUAUGCUGUGAGAAAGGGACCGUUAACCGUGUUGCCUUUGAAAGUUUCUUUAUGGCAAUCUGAAGGUGUAGUAGCAGUGACAGCCAGCCCAAUAUGGCACUGGCGAUGUUGUUAAGGGCUUGACUUAUAUUAGCUUUUAAUCUUCAUAAUUGCAAAUGUCCUAUUUUCCUCAUUUUAUAGAAGAGAAAAUUAGGGCACAGGGAGGCUAAGUAACUUGUGCAGGGCCACACAGGUGGUUAGUAGUGGAACUAAGAUUUGUACCCAGGCCUUCAUCCUCCAGGGACUAUGUUCUUUGAGUAGACUUUUUUUUUUUUUUUUUGUGGUGCUGGCGACUGAACCCAGGGCCUCACAUAUGCUAGGCAAGCACUCUACCACUGAGCCACAUACCCCGCCCAGGGACCAUGUUCUUGUCUACUCUGAACCUUUUCCAAAUAUUAGUACCAUGUGAGAACUUAGACAUGCCAGGCUGAGACCACAGAGAUCAGGCUCCUGGCCACCAUACAACACCUACCAGCUGUGUGACCUGGAGCAUGUCAUUUUCCUCAGGACUUCAGUGGUAACAACACCUUGUACCAAAUGCCCCUUCCACACACACGGAGCUGCUACUGCUGCUGCUGCUCUUCUUCUUCUUCCUCCUCCUCCUCCUCCUCCUCCUCUUCCUCCUCCUUCUCCUCCUCCUCCAGGGCAGCAGGUCCGCAGCUCUCCCUAUGUGCCAGGCACUGCUCAAAGCAUUUUACACAUCUUGAUCCUUCACAUGAUAUAAGAUGGCUCCAUGAGGUUGAUUCCUCAUUUUUGUAGAAAGAAACAGAGAGGUUGAUGGGUCUGGGGUAUGGCUCAGCAUUGAGCAGUUGCCUAGCUGCAAGGCCCUGGGUUCCAGCCACAGUAUAACCAAAAAAAAGGCAGUGGGGUGUAGGGUGGCAGGGAAAGAGGAGAUUAAGUAGCUUGUUUGAGGGCACCCAGCCGGGAAGCAUGGGACUUGAAGCAGAGUCUGCCUUAACAGUCUGCCCUGGCCCUGGCCUUGAGAAUCACCUAGACCUGGCUUCUGUGAGUGCCUUCAGAAUCUGUGGUACAAUUAGCAAAUAUUUCCAGUUCUUUGAGUCCAGGCACAUGGAGGUGUUGUAUUAGAUUUCCUUGCCCCCUUGAAUUUAGGUAUGGCCAACAAAACAUGAUGGAUGUCCCUUCUGGACAUAGCCAAGAGCAGGGGCAAUAUUCUCCACUGGCCUGGAAAGUCUUAAAAGCUUGGGGAUGACGCCUCCCUUCGCCUGAGCCCCACUGAGGAUGGCAUAAGGAAGAUGCCCACCAGACCCACAUGCAGGUGGAGGGAGACCUUCCUGAUUUUGAGCCACUGGGGCGUGGGGGCUGUUAUUGCAAUGGAACCGAGCCUUCUUUGUUGCAAGGGGGCUGUCCUGUGCAUUGUAGAAUGUUUAUUGCAUCCCUGGCCUCUCCCCAGUAGAUACACCCUGUACCCCACACCAGUGACAUCCAAAAACAUCUCCAGAUCUUGCUACAUGUCUUACUGGGGGCAAAAUCAUAUCUAGUUGAGAACCACUGUCCUGGCAUGUUCUGAUAGAGUCCCAGUGUCCUGCCAGUGCUCAGUGAACCCUAUUUGGCUGUGAUUUGUUCCUAAAGCCACAUCAGGCAGGUGAUGCGAUAUGCCUCCGUCAUAUGGGGCUGGAAAGAGGCA